ensembl:lncRNA
CUAGGAUGUUCUGUGUUGCUCUUUGGUGUUUUAAAUUGAUGCUAGGGUGUUUAAGUGGUUGCUAGGAUGUUCUAUGUUGCUCUUGGGUGUUUUAUAUUGUUGCUAGGAUGUUUAGGUGGUUGCUAGGAUGUUCUAAGGUGUUGUUUGAGUGUUCUGAGUGGUUGCUAGGGGUUCUAUGUUGUUUGGUGUUUUGUGUGGUUCGAUUGAGGUUGUUAAUAUGGUGUUUAGGUAGUUGCUAGGGUCUUAUUGUUUAUUGCUAGGAUGUUCUAUGUGGUUACUAGGGCGUUCUGUGUUGUGUUUGGGUCUUUAGGUGGGUGCUAGUGUGUUCUUUGUUGCUCUUGGGUGUUUAAGUGGUUGCUAGGAUGUUCUAUGUUGCUCUUGGGUGUUUUAUAUUGUUGCUAUGAUGUUUAGGUGGUUGCUAAGAUGUUCUAAGGUGUUGUUUGAGUGUUCUGAGUGGUUGCUAGGGGUUCUAUGUUGUUUGGUGUUUUGUGUGGUUCGAUUGAGGUUGUUAAUAGGGUGUUUAGGUAGUUGCUAGGGUCUUAUUGUUUAUUGCUAGGAUGUUCUAUGUGGUUGCUAGGAUGUUCUAUGGUGUUGUUUGAGUGUUCUGAGUGGUUGCUGGGGGUUCUGUGUUGUUUGGUGUUUUGUGUGGGUUGAUUGAGGUUGUUAAUAGGGUGUUUAGGUGGUUGCUAUGUAGCUCUUUGGUGUUUUAUAUUGUUGCUAGGGUGUUAUAGGUUAUUGCUAGGGUGUUUAGGUAGUUGCUAGGGUUUUAUAAGUUGUUGGGUGUUUUGGUGGUUUUUAGUGUGUUUUAGAUUGUUGCUAGGGUGCUCUAUGGGGUUUGUUUGAGUGUUCUGAGUGGUUGCUAGGGGUUCUAUUUUAUUAUUGGGUGUUUUAAAUGGUUGAUUAAGAGUUGUAUGUUGUUACUGGGGUGUUUAGGUGGUUGCUAGGAUGAUCUUAAUUUGUUCUAGGGUUUUUAGGUCGUUACUAUAGUGUUUACUGUAGGUGGUUGCUAGUGUGUGUAGGUUGUUGCU